UAGUCGCACAACAUACUCGAGAGAGCGAGAGAGAGAGAGAGAGACUGUUAUUUGCUGAAUUGGCUUGUCAUUGUAUUAAAAUUAUCUACAUUGUAGAACAUUAUAUAAAGAUCUAUAAACCUAAACAGAAUUUUUCAAGUGCAAAAAGUUAUAGAUAGGCCUAGCUGUCAUUUUUUAAAACUUAAAAUAGAAGAUUAAAAAGCUUUAUUAUUAUUUAAUUAUUUUACUAAGUUUAAAAAAAUUGUUUUACCCCUAAUACCGAUUGUGGCCCUCCGAGGGACACUAAGUCAGGUCUUCUAAACAGCUGGAAAUAGCUUUGGAUACUGGAGUAACCUCAUCAAAGCAAUCAUUCAGCAAUCUUUGUGUUGAAAAUGUGUCAUCUCAAGUUAAUUAUUAGAUGUGAAACCUAAAUUCUCUGUAAGUUAUUUUCUAUAUCUAUAGCUAUGACUGAAUUAGGGUAGGCUUAAAUAGAUGUUAUUGUUAUAGGAUUUGUCUACCAGGUGGACAAUGUAAUUAUAUGUUUUAUUUAAUACUUUCAAAUGAUUUGUAGCCUAUUCAUUUUUAUUGUUUUACCCUAUUCCCAGACCCACACUGUUAAUCUUAAAAUAGCCCCAUCUGUCAUCUGUCAUGCCCAUGUUUACUCACCUUUACAAACCUGUUAAACAGUUUUGGCUACGACUGACUUUCAUUGUAUGAGGGAAUUGUUCUUAGGGUUUUUCUUUUACACAGAAGUCACACAGGUUUGGAUGGGUUGUGUAAGGGUGUGUUCACACUUAGGUUUGGUACCCUACGAUUAAAACAUUGGUGCGAUGAGCUGUUGAUUUUUAACAAACCUUGGUGCGCACCAAACAAGCUUCCAAAUUAACUUUUGCUUCCGUUUGACAGAAAUAAUAGAACACAAAAACCAAUGAACAAUUUGUCACUAAUUAAUCGCGUGUCAUGCAAGAUACUCAUAAAGUUAUUUGAUUUACUUAUUAUCCUUAUAGCAAGCUAAACCAAGAAGUCAAUUGAUAAAAUACACCAAACAUGUCCAAUAACCACAAUUCCCACCACAAUAUUUGUGAGAACUGAGACCGUUAAUGUUCAUAGCCUAUUUUAUGACGGUGAAGUAUGCCUAUAUUAUUGUUAGCAGUCAAAUUAUAACCUAAACUAGGCUAGUUUGAAAAUAGUUUUUUCUAUAACAGUUUAUUUUCUCUAAAGAGCCAAAUGUGCCAUAUCCCGUUAAAAUCAGGGUACAAUAUUUAAAUACUAAUUUCCUCUGGAAAUUAGCGGAAGUGCGUUACUUGAACUGUCAUAAUGAAGGCAGCAGCAAUGAUGCACAAGAGAACAGGUACUGAGGGCUGAAGACGACUGUGAUUCAUUGACAUAUGUAGCUAAAGCGUUGUUCCGCGCGCGAGGAUGCCGAAUGUGGUGACGGAAGCGAUGAUUGAGUCUUAUGCGCUCAUGAUUUUGGUGAUGUCAGCGUUUUUUGUGUACUUUUGUGGCAUGGUUUGGGCAUUCUGCAACCCUAAGCUUAGUGGCUAUGCUGAGGAAACAGAGUGCGACACGAACAGUUUUUCACAAGUCCGUCUGCAACAAAUCUUUGCGGAUCCUGAAGAUGUGGAAACAACUCAGCCGGCACACUCACAUUUAACCAGAGCCGAGUGUCUGGAUCAACCGGCACAGAGUUACAUCGCUUCAUCCUAUAUUGUGGACUAAUAUUGUUAAACAUAAAUAAAACAUCACAAAAUGUGCUCCAUCUUCAUUCAUAGUAAUUUACCCGAGCAUCUCUCUGCGUACAGGACACAGCCUCAAGACAAAGGGAAGUGCAUCUUUAUGAUCUUCGUCUCCAUAGCGACACAUCAAUAUCUGCAAUCUCCCUUCAUUGCAAGCUCCCAUCCAGAAAAUUAUAAUAGUUUUUUUGUGAUAUGUAUAUUAAUGUUGUAUAGUUAAAUAAAUUGUUACGACGGCACUUCGUAUUA